GUGAUACGGAGAUACGGUCUGUGUGUUCUGAUAAAUCCUACUCUGCGGGGGCGGUGAUACGGAGAUACGGCCUGUGUGUUCUGAUACAUCCUACUCUGCGGGGCUUGUGAUACGGAGAUACGGUCUGUGUGUUCUGAUAAAUCCUACUCUGCGGGGGCGGUGAUACGGAGAUACGGCCUGUGUGUUCUGAUACAUCCUACUCUGCGGGGGCGGUGAUACGGAGAUACGGUCUGUGUGUUCU